CCCGCUCAGAAACUUAAAGGAAUUGACGGGGGCCCGCACAAGCGGAGGAGCAUGUGGUUUAAUUCGAUGAUACGCGAGGAACCUUACCUGGGCUCGAACGUAAGAUGACUGUAGGUGAAAGCUUACAUCUCUUCGGAGCAUUUUACGAGGUGCUGCAUGGUUGUCGUCAGCUCGUGCCGUGAGGUGUCGGGUUAAGUCCCAUAACGAGCGCAACCCCUAUCAUUAGUUGCCAUCAGGUCAAGCUGGGGACUCUAAUGAAACUGCCUACGCAAGUAGUGAGGAAGGUGGGGAUGACGUCAAAUCAGCACGGCCCUUACGUCCAGGGCUACACACGUGCUACAAUGGCCGGUACAAAGGGCAGCUACCUGGUGACAGGAUGCAAAUCUCCAAAGUCGGUCUCAGUUCGGAUCGGAGUCUGCAACCCGACUCCGUGAAGUUGGAUUCGCUAGUAAUCGCGCAUCAGCCAUGGCGCGGUGAAUACGUUCCCGGGCCUU
rnacentral:rRNA from 1 species